rnacentral:rRNA from 1 species
AUUGAACGCUGGCGGCAUGCCUUACACAUGCAAGUCGAACGGCAGCACGGGUGCUUGCACCUGGUGGCGAGUGGCGAACGGGUGAGUAAUACAUCGGAACAUGUCCUGUAGUGGGGGAUAGCCCGGCGAAAGCCGGAUUAAUACCGCAUACGAUCUACGGAUGAAAGCGGGGGACCUUCGGGCCUCGCGCUAUAGGGUUGGCCGAUGGCUGAUUAGCUAGUUGGUGGGGUAAAGGCCUACCAAGGCGACGAUCAGUAGCUGGUCUGAGAGGACGACCAGCCACACUGGGACUGAGACACGGCCCAGACUCCUACGGGAGGCAGCAGUGGGGAAUUUUGGACAAUGGGCGAAAGCCUGAUCCAGCAAUGCCGCGUGUGUGAAGAAGGCCUUCGGGUUGUAAAGCACUUUUGUCCGGAAAGAAAUCCUUGGCUCUAAUACAGGCGGGGGAUGACGGUACCGGAAGAAUAAGCACCGGCUAACUACGUG